rnacentral:rRNA from 1 species
GACGAACGCUGGCGGCGUGCUUAACACAUGCAAGUCGAGCGAUGAAGUUCCUUCGGGAACGGAUUAGCGGCGGACGGGUGAGUAACACGUGGGUAACCUGCCUCAUAGAGGGGAAUAGCCUUUCGAAAGGAAGAUUAAUACCGCAUAAGAUUGUAGUGCCGCAUGGCAUAGCAAUUAAAGGAGUAAUCCGCUAUGAGAUGGACCCGCGUCGCAUUAGCUAGUUGGUGAGGUAACGGCUCACCAAGGCGACGAUGCGUAGCCGACCUGAGAGGGUGAUCGGCCACAUUGGGACUGAGACACGGCCCAGACUCCUACGGGAGGCAGCAGUGGGGAAUAUUGCACAAUGGGGGAAACCCUGAUGCAGCAACGCCGCGUGAGUGAUGACGGUCUUCGGAUUGUAAAGCUCUGUCUUCAGGGACGAUAAUGACGGUACCUGAGGAGGAAGCCACGGCUAACUACGUGC